UAAUUUAGUUAAUGUGGUAAUAUUAUUAAAAAUAAUUAAUUAGAAAUGAAAUGUUAAACGUUUUUAAAUAUAUCUAGUUUUUUGAGAAAUAAAUUUAAUUUAAAUAAUUAUUAAUUAAAUUAUAAAUUAUUUUAUAAAUUAAAAUAUAUUAUAAAUAUUUUAAGGGAUAAGCUUUAAGAUAAAUUAUUAAAUAAAAUUUAUUAAAAAUAGAUUAAAUUUAAUAUAAUUAAUAUUAUUAAUUUUAUUUAAUUUGUUAAAAAUAAAUUUAAUUUAAAUAAUAUUUUAUAUUUAAAUAUUAAUUAAUUAUUAAAAUAUUUAUUUAAAUAAUAAAAAUAAAUUAAUAAUGAUAAAAUUAGUAUAAUUAUUGUAUUUUAUAGUUAAUAAAUAUUUUAAUAUUAAUUUAAGUAAUUCGGCAAAAUUAAAUAUUCACCUGUUUAUCAAAAACAUGUCCUUUUGAUAAAUAAUUUAAGGUCUAAUCUGCCCACUGAAUAUAUUUAAAGGGCCGCAGUAAUUUGACUGUGCAAAGGUAGCAUAAUAAAUAGUCUUUUAAUUGAAGACUGGAAUGAAUGAUUGAAUGAAAUAUUAACUGUCUCAAAUUAAUAUUUUAAAAUUUAAUUUUUUAGUUAAAAAGCUAAAAUAAUUUUAAAAGACGAGAAGACCCUAUAGAGUUUUAUAUUUUAUUUUUAUUAAAUUAUUUAUAAAAUUUAUUUAUUUAAUUAAAUAUAUUUAUUUUAUUGGGGUGAUAAAAAAAUUAAAUAAACUUUUUAUAUAAUAUACAUUAAUAUAUGAUUAAAUGAUCCAAUUAUAUUGAAUAAAAGAAUAAAUUACCUUAGGGAUAACAGC
rnacentral:rRNA from 1 species